rnacentral:rRNA from 1 species
GCAUCGAUGAAGAACGCAGCGAAAUGCGAUAAGUAGUGUGAAUUGCAGAAUUCAGUGAAUCAUCGAAUCUUUGAACGCACAUUGCGCCCCUUGGUAUUCCAUGGGGCAUGCCUGUUCGAGCGUCAUUUGUACCUUCAAGCUCUGCUUGGUGUUGGGUGUUUGUCUCGCCUCUGCGCGCAGACUCGCCUCAAAACAAUUGGCAGCCGGCGUAUUGAUUUCGGAGCGCAAUACAUCUCGCGCUUUGCACUCAUAACGACGACGUCCAAAAGUACAUUUUUACACUCUUGACCUCGGAUCAGGUAGGGAUACCCGCUGAACUUAAGCAUAUCAAUAAGCGGAGGA